rnacentral:rRNA from 1 species
AUUGAACGCUGGCGGCAUGCCUUACACAUGCAAGUCGAACGGCAGCACGGGAGCAAUCCUGGUGGCGAGUGGCGAACGGGUGAGUAAUAUAUCGGAACGUGCCCGGUCGUGGGGGAUAACGUAGCGAAAGCUACGCUAAUACCGCAUACGAUCUACGGAUGAAAGCGGGGGAUCGCAAGACCUCGCGCGAUUGGAGCGGCCGAUAUCAGAUUAGGUAGUUGGUGAGGUAAAGGCUCACCAAGCCGACGAUCUGCAGCUGGUCUGAGAGGACGACCAGCCACACUGGGACUGAGACACGGCCCAGACUCCUACGGGAGGCAGCAGUGGGAAUUUUGGACAAUGGGCGCAAGCCUGAUCCAGCAAUGCCGCGUGCAGGAUGAAGGCCUUCGGGUUGUAAACUGCUUUUGUACGGAACGAAACGGUGAGCUCUAAUACAGUUUGCUAAUGACGGUACCGUAAGAAUAAGCACCGGCUAACUACGUG